rnacentral:rRNA from 1 species
UACGUAGGGUGCAAGCGUUAAUCGGAAUUACUGGGCGUAAAGCGUGCGCAGGCGGUUCGCUAAGACAGAUGUGAAAUCCCCGGGCUUAACCUGGGAACUGCAUUUGUGACUGGCGGGCUAGAGUAUGGCAGAGGGGGGUAGAAUUCCACGUGUAGCAGUGAAAUGCGUAGAUAUGCGGAGGAACACCGAUGGCGAAGGCAAUCCCCUGGACCUGUACUGACGCUCAUGCACGAAAGCGUGGGGAGCAAACAGG